GUUUAUCUAAGAAAAUGGCCCUUGAUGGAGUGCAUUGGCAGAAAAGGAUUUGUGUAGCUGAUUCCAGUUAGUUGGUCUUUAGAUGAUGCUGAUUUUCUUGGCUAUGGUGAGUUUAAUGAAAAGAAGAUUGAAGAAAUGCAAUUGGAAGAGAUGCAGCUUCAAUUCAAAGAAACUGAAAAGAUGCUAGUGAAGGAACAAGAGGCUGUGAAAGAAGCAACAAACCAAAUUCCUGUCAUACAGGAGGUCCCAGUCAUUAAUAGUGUGUUGUUGGAUAAAUAGACUUUUGAAAAUGAACAACUGAAGGCCAUGGUGAGCUCACUGGAAAAGAAGAUAGAUGAAACUGAAAGAAAGUAUGAAGAAACACACAGGCUUAGUGAAGAAAUGCUUAAGCAGGCUAUGGUUGUAGAGUCAAAGAUAAUUCAAUUGAAGACUGACAUGCAGA